rnacentral:rRNA from 1 species
GUGACCCCUUUCUUUAUGCCUAACACAUGCAAGUCGAACGGCAGCACAGUAAGAGCUUGCUCUUACGGGUGGCGAGUGGCGGACGGGUGAGGAAUACAUCGGAAUCUACUUUUUCGUGGGGGAUAACGUAGGGAAACUUACGCUAAUACCGCAUACGACCUACGGGUGAAAGCAGGGGAUCUUCGGACCUUGCGCGAUUGAAUGAGCCGAUGUCGGAUUAGCUAGUUGGCGGGGUAAAGGCCCACCAAGGCGACGAUCCGUAGCUGGUCUGAGAGGAUGAUCAGCCACACUGGAACUGAGACACGGUCCAGACUCCUACGGGAGGCAGCAGUGGGGAAUAUUGGACAAUGGGCGCAAGCCUGAUCCAGCCAUACCGCGUGGGUGAAGAAGGCCUUCGGGUUGUAAAGCCCUUUUGUUGGGAAAGAAAAGCAGCAGGUUAAUACCCCGCUGUUCUGACGGUACCCAAAGAAUAAGCACCGGCUAACUUCGUG